rnacentral:rRNA from 1 species
AGGGUUAAUUAAAAUUAUUUUUUUAUAAAAUAUUCUCGAAUUCAAAAGAGUUAAUUAAAAAUAGAUUUUAUUGUAAAAUAAAUAUUUAAAAUUUUUAAUUAGAAAUGAAACGUUAGUCGUUUUUGAAUAUAUCUAGUUUUUGAAGAAAUAAAUUUAAUUUAGUUAUUAAUUAAUUAAAAUUUUAAUUUUUUAAUUUUUUAUUUAUUAAUAGAAAAUAUUUAUAGGGAUAAGCUUAUAAUUAAAUUAUUAUAAUAAAAUAAAUUUUAAAAUAAAUUUUAGGAUUAAAAAUUUUCAUAGGUAAAAAAUUGUUAUAAUUGAUUAUUUAUUAAAUAAAAUUUUUAUUUUAUUUAAUUUUUUUAUUUAAAUAUAGAUUUAAAUUUUAAAAAUUUAGAAAUAAUGAUUAAAUUAGUAUAAAUUUAUGUUUGUAAAAUUUUUAAUUUUAGGUUAAAUUAAGGAACUCGGCAAAUUUAUUUUUCACCUGUUUAUUAAAAACAUGUCCUUUUGAUUAUAAUUUAAGGUCUAAUCUGCCCACUGAUUAAUUAAAUGGCCGCGGUAUUUUGACCGUGCAAAGGUAGCAUAAUAAUUAGUUUCUUAAUUAGAAGCUGGAAUGAAAGAUUGGAUGAGAAAAUAACUGUCUCAAUUUAAAUUAAUUAGAAUUUUAUAUUUAAGUAAAAAAGCUUAAAUUUUAUUAAAAGACGAGAAGACCCUAUAGAGUUUUAUAAAAGAUUUUUUAUAUAAAUUUAUUUUUAAUUUUUUAAUAUUUAAUUUUUUAUUUUGUUGGGGUGAUAAAAAAAUUAAAUUAACUUUUUUUAUAUUUUAACACUAAUGAGUGAUUAAUUGAUCCAAAAUUAUUGAUUAAAAGAAAAAUACU